UGCGUCUCCUCCCUGGCGCUGGUAUGUUGCGUCAUGAUAUCAACCCAUCAUAUGUCAAGCCAUACAUCUAGGCAUUGGGAGGAUUCCAAGCAUUUUUAAAGGUUAACACUAGUAAUUUUCUUUUUUUUUCCGUAUCGUCAGUAUAUCCUAUGAAAAUACCGAUAUAUAACGAAAAUAAACGAUAAUGUGUCUGUCGAACUCUCAAUGAAUUUAUCCUCCGAACAAUUACUUGUUCGUCUGGCCAAACGCCGAUAUACCGGAAGUCAUAGAACUCCAUUGUUGUCCAAAAAAGUUCUGAAACGAAAAUGGAAGAUGCCCAACGGCGUUUCAAGUCAGCUAAAUAGAAGAGGAUUGGAUAGGUGCUGAACAGCCAGCCGACGUGUGGUGAGCAUUCUGGUGCAAAAUGGCUGCCAUGCAUCACCCAGGUGGGUGCUACACAUUGGAGGUAGCUGAGAGAAAACUGGAUGCAGGACUGGACUGCAGACAGGAAAAGUGAUAGAAAUCAAUUGGAACAGGUACAGGGGGCCAGACCUGUAAGAUGAAGCCAGCUGCAAUGAAAUACUUUACUGAAGCAGAAACAGCGGCGCUGUCCCGUCCCGCGUCGUACGGAAAACGCGCACGCACGCGAAAACGCUGACUACAGGGCGAUCACACCAGCUACAGGGCGACCACGCCGGCUACAGGGUGACCACACCGGCUACAGGGCGACCACACCGGCUACAGGGCGACCACACCAGCUACAGGGCGACCACACCAGCUACAGGGCGACCACGCCAG